AUCCUCCAUAUUCUUACUCCUAAAAUCUAAGCAUUGGUCUAAUUGUCUAAAUAAGGAGGAAAAGUAAAACUGAAGUGGACUUAGAAUCUUUAGUGACAUAUGUUCAUUUAAAACAAAA
rnacentral:snoRNA from 1 species